UGCCUUAGUAACGGCGAGUGAAGCGGCAACAGCUCAAAUUUGAAAUCUGGCCCUAGGCCCGAGUUGUAAUUUGCAGAGGAUGCUUUUGGCAAAGCGCUUACCGAGUCCCCUGGAACGGGGCGCCACAGAGGGUGAGAGCCCCGUAUGGUAUGACGCCGAGCCUCUGUAAAGCUCCUUCGACGAGUCGAGUAGUUUGGGAAUGCUGCUCUAAAUGGGAGGUAAAUUUCUUCUAAAGCUAAAUACCGGCCAGAGACCGAUAGCGCACAAGUAGAGUGAUCGAAAGAUGAAAAGCACUUUGAAAAGAGGGUUAAAUAGCACGUGAAAUUGUUGAAAGGGAAGCGCUCGUGACCAGACUUGCGCCGGGCGGAUCAUCCAGCGUUCUCGCUGGUGCACUCCGCCCGGCUCAGGCCAGCAUCGGUUUUCGCCGGGGGACAAAAGCUUCGGGAACGUGGCUCCCUUCGGGGAGUGUUAUAGCCCGUUGCUUAAUACCCCGGCGGGGACCGAGGACCGCGCUUCGGCAAGGAUGCUGGCGUAAUGGUCAUCAGCGACCCGUCUUGAAACACGGACCGAGGAGUCAAGCAUUAGUGCGAGUGUUUGGGUGUAAAACCCGCACGCGUAAUGAAAGUGAGCGUAGGUGAGAGCUUCGGCGCAUCAUCGACCGAUCCUGAUGUUUUCGGAUGGAUUUGAGUAGGAGCAUUAACGCUUGGACCCGAAAGAUGGUGAACUAUACUUGAAUAGGGUGAAGCCA
rnacentral:rRNA from 1 species